GCGUGGGGGCGGCUGCGCCGGGAGCCAGAAGUAGCAAAGGAAAUCAGUUUAUUGCAAAUAAACACGUCAAUACCGCGGGACCUGAAUUUCAGCUGCUUUUUUUUUUGGUGAACACAAACGAUUUCCUGCUGCACGUUGCUUAACACCGGAUGCCGUUUCUUUGUGAAGAACGAGGGAUGGACGUUGCCUCCGCCGUGGCGCUUCCUCAGUAUUGUUGCCCAUGGUUGAGGACCAGGAAAAGAGCCGCUUUUAUCCCCCACCUACUCCAAUGGCCCUCUCUUGGGGUGCUAUCUGGUACCCCGCACCGUACCUAGACUCCUGGCGGCUCCGGGUGAACUUUUAGUAUUCCCCCCG